rnacentral:tRNA from 1 species
GCUCUCAUGGCGUAGUGGUCACUGCGCUCGCCUUGCACGCGGGAGACCCGGGUUCGAUUCCCGGCGGGGGCA